CCAAGGGGAAUUGGGGUUGGGGGAGGGGGUGGAAACGGGGCGGAGAAGCUGGAGAGAAACCGAGUCCACAACAUCGCAGCAGCCAGGGAUCUUUAGCCAGCUCGACUUGCAAAGUCAUCAGUCUCGGAGACUAGUUCUUAAACAAGUUGGCCCUGCACUUCUGCGGGCACUAACCUACUAGGGGAUGAAGGCCUUCUGGCCUUUGGGUAUAGAGAUCUCCAGGGCUGAGGCGAUGCUCUAGAGGCCAGAAUGCUUAAAAGAGGGUUUACAAUGAAUUACCUAACCAGAACCAUCAGGAAAUCUUCCUGAGUGGCAAUGAAUGACUUUAGGUCUGAGGAGGAAUUUCUCUUGAAUUCUUCCAAGGAGUUGAGGAGGAGGAGAGGGUGGUUGAGUGCCCCAAUGUUACUUUUUGAGCAGAAGGUUACAUCUUGCCAAACGAGUCACCUCUUAAAAACCUUUGGGAAUCUUAAAACAUUGCAAAUUGCAACAUUUCAGUCCAAGUGUCUCUGUCUUAGGGCUCUUCUAUGGCUGUGUCCUGCCUAACAUUUUAUCAAACUUGGGGCAAGAGUAAAGGCUGUAUGUGCUGAUGAGCCAAGUAAUUCUGGAUAUUGUGUAUAUGCAACAAUGAUAACUUCCACAAUAUUCAGUUUAACAUAUGAAAGUUUAACCUAGUUCUAAAACACUAAUUUCAGACUUUUAAAAGCCAUCUUAGAAAUGUCCCUUUUGGGCUGAACUUAGCCUGACCUGCAGGACAUCAGCAGAGUGCUACCUACUACGGGAAUACUGGAUUAAUUGGAGUGAAAUCAUUUCAUAUACUUCUGAAGUAAAUUCCCUAAAAGAAAAUUUAACUGAAAACAAGAGUUUUUCUGUUGCAUUUGGAUAAUUCGAAAUGCGCUUUGUUUUCAAACUGCAAACCUGACAUAUUCGCAGCCCUUCCUGAGGAAUGCAUGCUGUGCUAAAAACUGGGGAAGGAAAUGUUAGAAGUAAAUGUUGUUAGAGUUAAUAAUCUCAUACUAAGCAUAUGCAAUGAAUAUGUAUGUAUCUAUACCCUUAAAGUUUGAAUAUGCACUGGCAUUCUCUUAUCAACAAUCAUUUAUUAGUACUUGUAGAGAAGAAACAGAAACGCACGUAUGCUAGAAUUACUAGCAAACUGGUAAAUUUUGGAAUUGGGUCUUUAAUCUGAUCCUACUCUUUCUCCUCAGUUUUUGGAUGAUCUAUCACCUGUUGGCUUAGAAAUAAUCUCUGAAUUGCAUGAAUGAAGUACAGGAGCCUUCACACAGAAGGGGGCGCAAAUUGGAAAAGUCUACAUUUGCAUGGAACUCAACACGGCGUGUUUUAGAUUUCAUCUUGUUUUGAACACUCCACAAGGAUAGCCUACUUUGAUAUUUAAACAAGAGAAUUUUACCAAAGUGGAAUAUAAAGUUUAUGUCAAUACAAGUGACUUUUCACGUCAGGUUCUUCCUCAGUGACGCAAGGAGCCUUAAUGUUUGAACACCUUGCCCUAAAUAAGAGAAAUUAUCUUAAUCACAUUCUGAGACCCUGCUGGAGAGACUGAGCCAUGGAUCAAAAGACUUGGAAAAAGAAGAAGAGGAAAAUACAAAGGAGUGAGAACAGAAUAAAACUAAGGAGGAGACAGAGCAGAAUGUGGAGAGAGGGUGAAUAGGUCUCUGGAGCAAGCGAGCAAGACUGCUAGAGAAAAAGAGAGGAUGAAGCUUGAUAUGUAGGGGGAAUUAGCCUAUUUGACAAGAGAAAGAAAUAAAUUAAUGCAUGUAGUGGGAAAUAGAAAAGCAGCAGGAUUAUUUGCCUCAGUUUCUGCUCAGAGAUAGUUGCAAGUAGCUGCCUGUCCAUUGGUAUAGGCAUUUAGUUUGAAAAAUCCCUAUCAUUCUCACCCAAGUCAUAACUUGGUAAGGAAAAAGGGAGAGAGCCAUGAAACGUGUUAUUAAAGUUGGUGUUUAUGUGAUAGGCAUGCUCUCUGCGGAAUUAGAGUGAAGAGUUGUGAUAUGUCAUUCCUGGAUCUCAAGAUGGUGGAGGGGAAGGUAUCUGGGGAAUACUAAUGCCAUUACUCCAUGAAGAAUGCUAUGAGCCAUGAUAGCAUUUUGGAAAUCUUAAUGUGGUUGUUAAAACUACUAGCCACUAAUUAUUUUCUUCGUGCCCUUCACAAUGGAGAUCAAAGUGGGUGGUUUUCCUGUGGUUAUCCAGGGUCAGUGCCUCUUCCCUCCCACCUCAGACACCUCAGGGAAGGACAUGGCUGUAAGUGAUGGUCCUUGCUCCCAUUCACCCCUAUGCAAGACCUUGAGAGAUUGUAAGGUUCUGGUUCUGCCUAACAGUGCGACCUGGAUUCUGGUUUCAACUGACACCAUUUCAUUCCAACAUGUUUAUUGAUUCUUUUGCAGUUUAACAAAAAAUGCAUCGAAGUCUCUAUUUUGAGUGCUUGGAAUAAGAAAACUUAGUCUCUGACAUCAAGGUGUCACAGUCUAAUGGGAACCAAAACAUGAAAACAGUUUUGUAACUUGGAGAGCUAAAUGCUGUGAUAAGUGUUUUCAAGGAGAGCCAAGGAAGGACACUGGACCUACUCUGAGGUGACAGGAAGCCUUUGCUUGUUGGGAAAUUACCUCCUGCAAAGGUACACUUCUGGGAAGCCUGUCCCAGAGAGAAACACACAGAAAGACCCAAAGACCGAAUUAAGAUGCACAUGUCACAUAGUGUAUCAAGUCAUUUUGAAACAUACAACAAGAAAGGGCAGUAGAUUAAGUAGGUUGAUAUGCUAGGAGCAAAUAGGAAGGACCAUGCUAUCCAGAUCCUGGCACAUAAAUGUAUGAUGUUAAUAUGUUCUCUCUCUCUCUCUCUUUUUUCAUCAGCCAUGCUUGCUGAUGAUGUGGUUAAGAGUUCCAAAGUUAAAGGUGAUCAAUGGUGGAGAGUGACUGGAGUUAAAAUACACUUGUCUCUAUCAGAGAGGCAAAGGGCAAAUACUCUUGUUCACACAGCUGGAGCUUCGCACUUAACCUGUUGAGCCCCUGUGGAUUUUCUUUCUCUGUCUUGGCCAGAGGACAAGUGGGCCAGAUUGGAUGUCACCCAUAGAGAGCCUACUUAAGACCUCAUGAGUAUGUGUGCCACAGAAAUAUGGGGUUCCCUAAGAGCUUCAUGACUAUUAGGUGCUUACUUAGUCUUUCUGUCCCUUCCUACUUACUUUAGUGAUGGGUGAGAUACCUCUCAGACUACUUAUUUCCAUACUUAAUGUCAUCUCUCUUCCUUGUUUUUCUGAUUCUCUCUAGCAGAAUUGAAUAGUCAUGAACAAUACAGCAAACAGGCAUUGCCGUUCUCCUGAAGUGCACUUUAUCUCAGCUUCAGUCUUGAGGCAUGAAUGGGGUGAACAAGGUGAGCUGCAGAGAGGGUAGGAGGAAAGGAAGACAUUGGGAACAGUCUGGGCAAAGGCAUGGAGGCAUGGACGUGCUUGGCCUUUUCAGGGACCUGUGAGGGGUUUUGUAUAGCUGGAGGCAGAAUGACUGUUGGGAGCAGCCAGAAAUGAUACAAAAUUUAAAUCACAGUAAGUUUGUGUGCCAAGGCUAAGGAAUUUAGUUUUUUAAAUGCAUCUGGGAAAAACUUAAGAAUGUUAAGCAGGGAAAUGUCAUGAUCAGAUUUAUAUUUUAUAUAAGUUUGUGGACAAUGAAGGGGAUAGAUUAGACAGUUAUAUGACUAGAUUUAGGAAGUUCUUACAUCAACCCACAAUAUAUCCAAUGUAAGAAUAUCAACUUAUUUAUGAGAACUUACACCAUUGCAGUAGCUAUGGGGGAUGUGAACAGGAUAACAUAAAGUUGAGAAAAAAAUGACUGGAUUUGGGGAUAUUUGGAAGAAUCAGCUUCCUCAUCUGUAAAAUGAAGUAAUCGGAUAAUUUGGGUAAGUUGAAGAAUCUAAACUUGAAAGGAUUUUAUAAAUUAUCUAGUCUGACUAGUUAGUUUUAUAGAUGAAAUUUUUUUCUCUAUGACUCUUGAAACUCCAAGAUUGGGCAAUUAUCUGGAAUCUGGAAGUAUUUUUCUAAGUGAGGAGAAUGAGUUUCCUUCUAGUUCUGGAGCUCACUUGUGGCCAACUAUGGGACUAAGUUUUGUGCCGAAAAUAAGUAAAAUAGGCAGUGAAGGGGCUCCCUCCAAAAGCCACUUUAUAUUUGCCAUUGUCACACUUUAAAUUAAUCACUGGUAGCUCAUUAAGUUGGAACCUGGCAUGGUCCCCUCUGGGCUCCUCUUUUAGAUGGAAAUGUCCCCAAGUGAGGUAACACAUUAGGUCACUAAUGCUUUUGAGUGAAUUAGAUUGUAUGAUGUUUUUCCCAAGGAAGGAGGGUCUCAAGAUAGUGAAGGACACUGGGACAUACUGGAAAGACCAGAUUUAAUAGCAGGGGAACUGUGCAGAAAAGAAAAGUUGUGGUACUGGCAGACCUUUAUAAUUUUCCCAAGUGUGGGCCCUGGCCUGACACCACGGGCCUGUCCAAGCCUUCUGUACCUGUUGUUCUGUGUGGCUGAAGAUGUUGAGUUCUAUCUUUUGGAUUCAGUUCUAGAUAGAUUAAGCACAGUGAGAUAGGAAAUGUCCCUACUGGCCUUGUCUCAUCAUCUGGAUUUCUGCCAAGGUCUGAGAACCUUGACAUAUUCUGUCAAAUAUGGGAUACUCUUCUAUGUCACUAUCAGAUGUGUGUUAAGAGCAAACAAUAAUCCAUUAUUUCUUUGUUUUAACUAUAAUGGGCCUAUUUAGAUGUAAUUAUGUUCAAGAGUAGAAAUGUUUCCAGGGAAUAUGAAAUGUAUACAAUGGCUGAGAAAGCAAAAAUAUCUGCUAAUGAUCAUAAACAACCUUAAUAGCAAUUUUAAUUUCAUGGCCAACUUUUUAGACUAGUGCUAAAGAGUUGUUAAAAAUACCCUAAAGAGAAAGAGAAAGAUGUUAAUUCUGAAGCAUAUCAGCAGGCUUGAGAAUCUGAAGAGUAGUUACUGCAGAUUAAUUAUAUUUAUUUUUUAACUGGUCCAUUCUCUACAGUCUGAUAUAAUUACUGGGAAAAAUAAACUAUUUCUAGAU